GAUUUGUUGUUAUUAAUCUUGGCCUGCAAAGAUGCUUCUGAUAGAAGUCCACCAAUGCUUAAAACGGUUAAAUUAUCAUCCCAUGUAACCGGAGCUGGAAUUGCUGCUUGAUGAUUAAGUUUUCCCUGUAACGAUGCCUCAGAAAGCAAGCCUCCAAUGCUUAUGUCAGUGGAUGGCUUUGACCAAUCUUGACUUUGACCAGUCUUGACUUCAGUAUCAUUGUUUCCCUCUAACGUAAAAAGUCCCCCCAUUGUCAAAUCGGUCAUGUUAUCAUCCAUUAACCGUGACGAUUCCUGGCUUUGACCAAUCUUGACUUCAAGGCGCAGUCACAGCUACUUGAGCUGUUGCAUCUACACAGUUCCUAUCUUCUGAGAUCGAUUUGUGUAUGCCAUCAGAUUUUAUGCAAUUAUGCACAUCAGUUGUUGCAGAAACUCUUUCAGGCUGGUGAUCAGAGAACCACCCGCAACAUAUCACACGGUUCAAAUGAGCUAA
rnacentral:lncRNA from 1 species